rnacentral:rRNA from 1 species
CCGAUGGAGGGGGAUAACUAUGGAAACGGUAGCUAAUACCGCAUAACGUCGCAAGACCAAAGAGGGGGACCUUCGGGCCUCUUGCCAUCGGAUGUGCCCAGAUGGGAUUAGCUAGUAGGUGGGGUAACGGCUCACCUAGGCGACGAUCCCUAGCUGGUCUGAGAGGAUGACCAGCCACACUGGAACUGAGACACGGCCCAG